rnacentral:rRNA from 1 species
UGCUAGUGUUAGAGGGUUUCCGCCCUUUAGUGCUGCAGCUAACGCAUUAAGCACUCCGCCUGGGGAGUACGGUCGCAAGACUGAAACUCAAAGGAAUUGACGGGGGCCCGCACAAGCGGUGGAGCAUGUGGUUUAAUUCGAAGCAACGCGAAGAACCUUACCAGGUCUUGACAUCCUCUGACAACUCUAGAGAUAGAGCGUUCCCCUUCGGGGGACAGAGUGACAGGUGGUGCAUGGUUGUCGUCAGCUCGUGUCGUGAGAUGUUGGGUUAAGUCCCGCAACGAGCGCAACCCUUGAUCUUAGUUGCCAGCAUUUAGUUGGGCACUCUAAGGUGACUGCCGGUGACAAACCGGAGGAAGGUGGGGAUGACGUCAAAUCAUCAUGCCCCUUAUGACCUGGGCUACACACGUGCUACAAUGGAUGGUACAAAGGGCUGCAAGACCGCGAGGUCAAGCCAAUCCCAUAAAACCAUUCUCAGUUCGGAUUGUAGGCUGCAACUCGCCUACAUGAAGCUGGAAUCGCUAGUAAUCGCGGAUCANCAUGCCGCGGUGAAUACGUUCCCGGGCCUUGUACACACCGCCCGUCACACCACGAGAGUUUGUAACACCCGAAGUCGGUGGAGUAACCGUAAGGAGCUAGCCGCCUAUCGUGGGACAGAUGAAUGGGGUGAACUC